GACGAACGCUGGCGGCGUGCUUAACACAUGCAAGUGGAGCGACGAACCAGGGCUUGCCCUGGGGCAAAGCCGCGAACGGGUGAGUAACACGUGGGUAACCCACCCCGAUGAUUGGGACAACCCGAGGAAACUCGGGCUAAUACCAAAUGUGCUCGCUGCUCAUGAGGGCAGCGAGUAAAGAUAGCUUCGGCCUUCGCAUCGGGACGGGCCGCGGCCCAUUAGCUUGUUGGUGAGGUAACGGCUCACCAAGGCGACGAUGGGUAGCUGGUCUGAGAGGACGAUCAGCCACACUGGGACUGAGACACGGCCCAGACUCCUACGGGAGGCAGCAGUGGGGAAUCUUGCGCAAUGCGCGAAAGCGUGACGCAGCAACGCCGCGUGGGGGAAGAAGGCCUUCGGGUUGUAAACCCCUUUCAGUUGGGACGAAGCUCCGCCGGUGAACAGCCGGCUGGAGUGACGGUACCUUCACAAGAAGCCCCGGCUAACUACGUGCCAGCAGCCGCGGUAAAAC
rnacentral:rRNA from 1 species